AUGUGUUUGUGCAUAGCCUUUUUAAUAUCAUUAUUAGUAGCUCUCUCUUAGUGCUCAAGCCUUCAAGGGAUAAAAAGACACAUAGCACUAGCAGCUAUAUCUAGAAGAAAUGGAAGGAGCAUAUCUGUAAGUAGUGAUCAUGACGGGGAACCAUGAUCCAUUUGACUUGCAUUCCAUGACCGAGGAACCAUUACACAGUCACCAGAAAGUUUAUGCUUGAUAGUCAUGAUUACACGAGUGUUGGAUGAUGAUCGAUGGUCAAAUGCAACCG
rnacentral:lncRNA from 1 species